rnacentral:rRNA from 1 species
GAUGAACGCUGGCGGCGUGCCUAAUACAUGCAAGUCGAGCGAACGGACGAUAAGCUUGCUUCUCUGAUGUUAGCGGCGGACGGGUGAGUAACACGUGGAUAACCUACCUAUAAGACUGGGAUAACUUCGGGAAACCGGAGCUAAUACCGUAUGAUAUUUUGAACCGCAUGGUUCAAAAGUGAAAGACGGUCUUGCUGUCACUUAUAGAUGGAUCCGCGCUGCAUUAUCUAGUUGGUAAGGUAACGGCUUACCAAGGCAACGAUGCAUAGCCGACCUGAGAGGGUGAUCGGCCACACUGGAACUGAGACACGGUCCAGACUACUAAGGGAGGCAGCAGUAGGGAAUCUUCCGCAAUGGGCGAAAGCCUGACGGAGCAACGCCGAGUGAGUGAUGAAGGUCUUCGGAUCGUAAAACUCUGUUAUUAGGGAAGAACAUAUGUGUAAGUAACUGUGCACAUCUUGACGGUAACUAAUCAGAAAGCCACGGCUAACUACGUG